rfam:Brassica rapa chromosome A1, whole genome shotgun sequence.
GGAAUAUAAGAAACCGUCUCUUAACUUUUAACUAAAAAAGUUAAGAAUUCUUAACUUUUUUAGUUAAAAGUUAAGAGACGGUUUCUUAUAUUCC